rnacentral:rRNA from 1 species
AUUGAACGCUGGCGGCGUGCUUAACACAUGCAAGUCGAUCGGUAACAGGUGUAGCAAUACAUGCUGACGAGAGGCGGACGGGUGAGGAAUAUUUGGGAAUCUGCCCAUCAGCGGGGGACAACCCGGGGAAACCCGGGCUAAUACCGCAUACGCUCUACGGAGGAAAGCCGGGGACCGCAAGGCCUGGCACUGAUGGAUGGGCCCAAAUGGGAUUGGCUAGUUGGUGGGGUAACGGACCACCAAGGCGACGAUCCGUAGCUGGUCUGAGAGGACGAUCAGCCACACCGGAACUGAGACACGGUCCGGACUCCUACGGGAGGCAGCAGUGGGGAAUAUUGGACAAUGGGGGAAACCCUGAUCCGGCGACGCCGCGUGGGUGAAGAAGGCCUGCGGGUUGUAAAGCCCUUUCGGUAGGGACGAAAGCUCUUGCUCUAAUAAUGCAAGAGGUUGACUUAACCUACAUAAGAAGCACCGGCUAACUCUGUGCCAGCCGCCGCCGUAA